rnacentral:rRNA from 1 species
UGCGCAGGCGGGCUAAUAAGUCAGUGGUGAAAUCUCUCGGCUCAACCGGGAAACUGCCAUUGAUACUGUUAGUCUUGAGUUCGGUUGAGGUAGGCGGAAUGUGUAAUGUAGCGGUGAAAUGCUUAGAUAUUACACAGAACACCAAUUGCGUAGGCAGCUUACUAGACCGACACUGACGCUGAGGCACGAAAGCGUGGGGAGCGAACAGGAUUAGAUACCCUGGUAGUCC